rfam:Caldisphaera lagunensis DSM 15908, complete genome.
GGGCCCGUAGUCUAGGUGGUUAGGACGCCGCCCUCACACGGCGGAGGUCGCCGGUUCGAGUCCGGCCGGGCCCA